rnacentral:rRNA from 1 species
CCUACGGGAGGCAGCAGUGGGGAAUAUUGCACAAUGGGGGAAACCCUGAUGCAGCGACGCCGCGUGAGUGAAGAAGUAUUUCGGUAUGUAAAGCUCUAUCAGCAGGGAAGAAAAUGACGGUACCUGAUUAAGAAGCCCCGGCUAACUACGGGCCAGCAGCCGCGGUAAUACGUAGGGGGCAAGCGUUAUCCGGAUUUACUGGGUGUAAAGGGGGCGUAGACGGCAGCACAAGUCUGGAGUGAAAUGCCGGGGCUUAACCCCGGAACUGCUUUGGAAACUGUGCAGCUAGAGUGCAGGCGAGGUAAGUGGAAUACCUAGUGUAGCGGUGAAAUGCGUAGAUAUUAGGAGGAACACCAGUGGCGAAGGCGGCUUACUGGACUGUAACUGACGUUGAGGCUCGAAAGCGUGGGGAGCAAACAGGAUUAGAUACCCCUGUAGUC